ensembl:lncRNA
AUGUACACCGAAGAAGGCACCUCCUUCCUGGACUCCGCUUCCUGCAGGGGGCCACAGUGUAUGCAUGAGGUGAGCAACCUCAAGCCAUUGCAUCCAGCUCUCACCUCCACUCCCCUUUGCUCCUUCAAACACCCCUGCAGAAGAGAGAAUAACUGCGUGCACUGCAGCCAGACCAGCAGGUCUGUCUCAGUACCCUACACGGCUGCAGACAAGUCAAAUCGGAGCUCAGAAGGGGCCGCUGUUUGCAGGACCCCAACGCCAACUCAAGACCAGAUCCAGGCACUGCUCAGGGGUGCUCCAAUAACACCAACACCCCUGAAGAUCAAUGAGCUACAAAAUGAGGCGGAGCAGGUCUCAGAGUGUUCAGGCAGGAUGAUGAAUUUGAUGAUGGACGAAAACAUAAAUGAAGACGGUCAGAAGUCCAGCAGUUCCUCACAGGUUCUGAGGGAGAAUCAGCUGCUGCAGGUUGAGAGAGGCUCGGCACAUCUCUGUGAGGAGCUGGACUGCUUUCCUCUGGAUGGGCUGGUGGGGGUGUGGUGGUGCGAGCAACCUGUCACCCGUUUGGACUGUUCCUUGGCUCACCAGAAGUCAGAGGUGAGCCCACCUGUCCGACUGAAUGAUGUAGCUCACCUGUGAGAUCAGCUGAGAUGAUACUCCAAUCAGGAGUUCUCUCUUCUUCCUCUCAAACGGAAUUUCUGCAGCCUCGUGCGAUUCGAUUAAUUGAUUUCUUGAGCAGUUUGAAACUUGCACUUUAUUCCUUUCAUGAAACUUUUACAGGUGUUCUUGCUUAUUUAGUAAUUUAUUAGUCACUAUGUUUAUUUGAAAUAACAUUGUGUACAAUUUAACUUAUUUUUUUGAUGAUUAAUUUCUUGAGAAGCACGAAGCAUUCCAGUAAUUUGUGUGUUGUUGUUGAAUCAAAUACGGUAACACAGUUUCUUUCUUGUGGAAAACUCAGAAAUUUCUAACUGUUGCAGUUUGCAUCAGAAUUGAUCAGUUUUACACUUUUGACCAAGAACCAGACAUGAGACACAAAUAACCUUUUAUCACAGGCUGAACUCUGUGUUACUUUGCUGCCUUGUGUUUUAUUUUUCGUGUGUUUGAACUGCAGAACUGCACAUGAGAUUAUUUUAUCUUUGACUGACAGGAUGCUGUGAGAAUAAAUUACUGGGUUAAAUGUUUUAAAUUAAACUGUCAGAAAUAAAUUGUUAGCAGUAAACUUGUCGAAAUUAAGUGACAUAAUAAACUUGUCUGGUCAUGUCAUGAUUUGGACCCUGGUUCUUUGAUUUGUUUUCUUUAUUUGAUUUGAGGUUUGAUUUUUUUUUUUUUGUGAGUGUAUAUCCUUUUAGUAGCUAUCAGCUGUUUGCAUUGGUGUCUGUGUUUAAGGAGCUGUUCUUCUUUAUGUUUUGUUUUUUUUUUUUUUGUAAAAAAAAAAG